rnacentral:rRNA from 1 species
UGGUGGAGUGAUUUGUCUGGUUAAUUCCGUUAAUGAACGAGACCUUAACCUGCUAAAUAGUUACAUGUAACCUCGGUUACAUGGGCAACUUCUUAGAGGGACUUUACGUGUCUAACGUAAGGAAGUUUGAGGCAAUAACA